rnacentral:rRNA from 1 species
AGACGUAGGGGGCAAGCGUUGUCCGGAAUUACUGGGCGUAAAGGGUGCGUAGCGGGACUGCAAGUCAGACGUGAAAUACCGAGGCUUAACCUCGGGGCUGCGUUUGAAACUGUAGUUCUUGAGUGAAGUAGAGGCAGGCGGAAUUCCUAGUGUAGCGGUGAAAUGCGUAGAUAUCCGGAGGAACACCAGUGGCGAAGGCGGCUUACUGGUCCAUUACUGACGCUGAGGUGCGAAAGCGUGGGGAGC